rnacentral:lncRNA from 1 species
GAGAGGAGUAGAGCGCGGUCUGCGGUCGUGUGCGGGAUCACGGCUGCAUCACGGCGGAAGCAGAGGUGGAGGAGGCUGGAUCGGGAGCUGAUGCACGCGGGAUCACUAGAAAUCUGGGAGGAUGACGUGGAUCUGCCGUGGAGGAAGGCUUGGAGGUGUCAUGGACGGUGAGAUGAGGUGCUUCACGGGCGGCUGGGACGUUGAUCACGAACUUUGGGCCGCGGGAUCGACGGAAUGGAGCUGGACCAUCCGGGAUGAUGGCGUGAUCCGUGGGAGGAAGGAGAGGGUGGACGGGCGCGGGAUCCAUGGAGGGAGCUGUGGGAUCACUGGGAGGCCGCCGAUCAUGGUGCGAAUGCGGCUGGAACGGGCGGAAGAAGAUGGAAAUGGUGUCUGAGAUCACGCCUUGCUGGGAGGAUUUUUGAAAUGGGGAAAGAAGCGGACGGGCGCUGAUCGCGUGAGGGAUGCGCGGAAGGUUGAAGAAGAUGAUGGC